CCCCUGGCUGGCUCCCGCCUGGUCGGGUCAGGGCGUCGCAAUGCGGGAUGCUCCGCACGGGAUUCCGGGACCGUGUGGUCAAGACCAACUCCGGAUAGACGCAGGGAAACUCGUCGUCAGAGUUCCUGUUGUCGAAGCUCGCUGACGACUGCGCUCGGAGAUGCCAGUGCUGACGGCUUAGCGGACCGGGGUUCGACUCCCCGCACCUCCACAA
rnacentral:tmRNA from 1 species